rnacentral:lncRNA from 1 species
CGUUGAAUCGCGAAAUUCGUUAAUUCUGGAUUCGUUAAAUCGGGGCUCGACUGUAUAUACAUUUUUAUUUUUCAUACUGGAAAGAUUUUUUAUUUGAACAUUAGACUAACAAGUAAGAUAAAUUCAAUGAGAGAAGGAAGUAGAGUUUGCAUACAUGAGUUGAAUUUAGUACUUAUAGCAAAUCGUUUAUUUUAAGCCGUUCUCCUUUUGGUGAAUACUGAAAUGCCUGGGUACACAGACCUAUGAUAGAAUUCACCGGGGAGGUGACAGAUUGGAAUCAAUAAAUUGUUCCUUAUCCUUUCUGAAAAGUCUGAAAGGUAUGGAGCUGAGAAUCGAUCCCUUACCUUCCAGAUGGAAGUCAUGUUUCAUCAUAUCAUCCAGAUAAUAAUCUUGUUAUCAGUAAUAUUUUACGUUGUUUCUCAUCUAGAUACUAUAUAUGCUAAACAGAAAGUUAAUCAAGUAGUUUAUUAUGAACUCUCCAUCCUCUUGAUGAGAUCAACUGGGAGUAUGAAGGAUGAGUAUCGACAUCUGGAUCGGACUCUAAUAAAAAAUUCACAAGGAAUAGAUCCGAGAAUCUGUUUUCUAUCCCGAGAGAAAUCUUAAUGCUCUUUCACUCAGUCAACAAACCGAUUGUGGAAAAUAUCACAUAUUAUGUUAACUUAUUUAUACAUAUUUUAUAUGUGUAUUUGGAAUAGUAUUUUUUACAUUGUUUCUAAAAUAAAUUCAUAUGUUAAUUUUUAUCGCUAU